GCGUGGCCUAAGUGGUAAGAGUGUCUGCAUUGAAUGCAGGAGGUCACGGGUUCGAACCCCACUUGAUUCA